GGCAACGUGGCGUAGUGGUUUGAGUGUUGGACUUGGACUCUGAAGACCAGGGUUCGAUUCCCAGUUCGACCA